GUUGAUGGUUGCAGAAUGAAGAAGACCCAAACUUGAUACAGUUUUACAGAGAAGUUCAUUGGUCAAGAAAGAAGGGAUGCUUUAUAACUGGCCAAGCAGAACAGAACUACAAACUAAUGCUUGAGCGAUUGGAUGAGACUGAGGUGAAUACUGAAAACAACAAUGAGAAGUGCAAUGCAGCUUUCAAGGAGGUUUUAGGAUAUAAAGCAGGAUAUGCAACAGGACUUGGACACUCGGUUAUACCUGAGGCUUCAAUAGCAUUGCGCAAGAAUAGGGACUAUGUUAGGAUUGUUGAAGAGAAUGAAAGGAACAAGAAUGAAGCACAUAUGUACAAGAGCCAGUUAGAGGUGCUAAGAGAUGAGUUGCAUAGUUUCAAGAAUCAGUUUAAAGACUACCAGAGUACGAUGAACAAUCGUGUAGCUGACCUGGAAUGCAAUCAAAGAGAGUCUCAUCAGGAGACUAACAUGGAUGCCUAGGCAUCCGGUUAAUGUGUGGCUUUUUUGUUGCCCAGCUGACUGAUCUUUUUGGAAAGUCGUAGUUGAAGUAACAAGUUGCUUAUAUUCGUGAAGUACUAAUGUCUUUUGGUCCUUUCUUUUGAUGAUGCACAUAUAUGGAUGUGGUGGCAGUCUCUACAUUGUGUCUAGUUUAACAGUCAGCAUAGUAUAUAGGUUGACAAUGUGCCAACGGUUGCUGCCAUGCAUUUCACACAAAAAAGCUUGACUAAGGGAGUCUGAAGCCUGGCAGCGGGAGAAAAGUUUGAUGCUAACAUGAACAGGCAGUCAAACCAAGACACAAUGAGGGCCCAGCCUUGCCAUCUAUGUGGACAAAUGGAGGUGUUGCUUUUUUGAGUGAAGAUCCCCACAGAUCCAUUUGACCAGGAAAGAGAUUAGAAGCUUGAUAAAUAUAUAUUAUUGAUAUGUAAUAGUUAUGUUUUGGGACAUAGAUAUGGGACUCAUAUAACAUUUCUGUUGGUUGGGCAUGUCAGAUGGAACAGGAUGCCAAUUUUGGCAUCAUCAUUAAAUUUAUGAGACUGGUGUUGAUCUAUGUGUUGAUAUGAUCAUAGUUUUACAAAAUGGGUUUAUGUUUCUUGGAUAUGUUCACACGGAUGACCAGGGUGCAUUUGGAUGGAUAUUGUAUGUCCAAUGGAGAACUAAGUGAUAUAUUAAAUACAUGAUUAGUAAUUUCAGGGCAAAUUGUUUUCUGUUCUUUGCCAUGGGAAUGUAAUAUGUAAAACUGAAAUCUUGAU